rnacentral:tRNA from 1 species
UAGAUUGAAGCCAGUUANCUAGGGUA